rnacentral:rRNA from 1 species
UGCGCAGGCGGGCUUGUAAGUCAGUGGUGAAAUACUGCCGCUUAACGGUAGAACUGCCAUUGAUACUGCAAGUCUUGAAUAUGGUUGAGGUAGGCGGAAUGUGUUGUGUAGCGGUGAAAUGCAUAGAUAUGACACAGAGCGCCGAUUGCGAAGGCAGCUUACUAAGCCAUAAUUGACGCUGAGGCACGAAAGCGUGGGGAGCGAACAGGAUUAGAUACCCUGGUAGUCC